rnacentral:pre_miRNA from 1 species
AGUGGGAUAGCUGGGCCAAAUGGUGGUUCCAUUCCCAGUUUUCCAAGGAAUCUCCAUACUGCUGUCUAGAGUGGUUGCACCAAUUUGCAGUUCCACCAGCAAU